GAGUUUGAUCCUGGCUCAGAUUGAACGCUGGCGGAAUGCUUUACACAUGCAAGUCGAGCGGCAGCGCGGGGCAACCUGGCGGCGAGCGGCGAACGGGUGAGUAAUACAUCGGAACAUGUCCUGUCGUGGGGGAUAGCCCGGCGAAAGCCGGAUUAAUACCGCAUACGUCCGAGAGGAGAAAGUGGGGGACCGCAAGGCCUCACGCGAUUGGGUUGGCCGAUGUCCGAUUAGCUAGUUGGUGGGGUAAAGGCCCACCAAGGCGAUGAUCGGUAGCUGGUCUGAGAGGAUGAUCAGCCACACUGGGACUGAGACACGGCCCAGACUCCUACGGGAGGCAGCAGUGGGGAAUUUUGGACAAUGGGGGCAACCCUGAUCCAGCCAUUCCGCGUGAGUGAAGAAGGCCUUCGGUUGUAAG
rnacentral:rRNA from 1 species